UUGUUUUCCUAUUUUGUUUUUUCAAAACCCUAAUUUCUGACGGUCUAGUCCUUUCCAUCAAACUCUUAGAACCCAUUCUUCUUUUUGAAUUUUCCUCAUGUUUAAACUAGUUUAUUGGUUUGUUUUUAGUUUCUGUGUUUCUGGUCAAUUUCAAUUCGUAGAAUUUCUAACUUUUAAUUUCUUUUCUGAUUAGGUUAUGGGUUGAGGGGGAGACAACAUAGGGUUUAUGUCUUCACCAUCAUGAGAUUAAGCAAAGUGAUAUAUGAUUUGAUUGGUUAUUGAGGUUUCUUUCGGGGGGAAGGAUCUGGUGCAAUCAAAAGGUCUGAGGUCUCUGCUUCGAUAGGAGAAUAUAGGAUCAAGCUGUCUUGAUAAGGAAGUUAUUUAUGAACCUACCCCAAUUACUUUUUUACCUCCUGAGCCUCUUAUCACUGAAGAAGAAUUUGAAAAUGAAGUUAAUCUCAUGAUGGUGGAUACAAUGGACUCUAUGGAUGCUGAACCUGCCUCUAUUCAUGACCUUGAAGAUUAAAGAGAACUAGAUCGGACUUUGGACUGACUACAGAUGCAGUUGGUGCUGAGGCGACUGCUCUAAUUUUUGCAAUUUCCUGGGCGAAGGAGAUGAAUCUGUCUAGAGUUCUGUUCGUUAGUGAUUGCCUUCAUUUGGUAGAUUUUGUUAAUGGAGGAAAUGGUUCCGUGGAUUGGAGAUGUAGUGAUAUUAUGGAAGACAGUCGGAUUUCCUUUUCUAGUUUUUAUAUUAAGCGUCUUAAGAACAAGCUAGCCGACCAGCUUGCACGUCGGGCUAGAAAGUUCAGUUUAAAAGAUAACUGGGUCUCUGUUCCUCCUUUUUUGGACAGUUUGACGAGGAAAGAGCCCAUAGUUGAUGUUUGUAAAUUUCUU